CUGGGGUUGUGGCUCAGAGGUAGAGCACUCGCCUAGUAUGCGUGAGGUACUGGGUUCGAUCCUCAGACCACAUA
rnacentral:tRNA from 1 species